CAGACUGUAACUGCCAGAGCAGCG
rnacentral:piRNA from 1 species